UGCAGGAAUGAAAAUUAUACGUGACGUUAAAGAGUUGUAACGUUAAAAAGAUGAUAUUGCUUAAAAUUGUUUAAUUAUUGGUACUUAAAAUUGUUUAAUUAUUGGUACUUGAAUCUGACUUUAAACCGGUUUAACACAAACAUACAAUUACAAUAAUCAAUACCAGGGUACAUGUAUCAUGCUGGAAAAUUACGAAUGUGUCAGACGAAUUAUUUUGUUUUUCAUAGAAGAUAAACAAAAUCAUCGAGCUUUGCAGAACGAUGAAUCAGAAUGACUGAAUGACACUAAGUUUUGCAAAAUGGAUAUAUCCCUAACUUCCAUGGCCUUCGACAUAUUUGAGUGGGAUCCAGAAACAACCCCUGACACAACAACUUAAUUUACAAGAACAACCCUGCGUAUAAGAAUAACAAUACUUCUGACAAAAACAAACAAAAGCAACUCCAGAUUUAUGAACAACUCUGAUUACUAGAACAUGAACACCAACCCCAUCUUCAAGAACAACAACUUCAACCCCAGAACAUCAACACUUCCUGCAGGGACAACUACAAAAACAUCAGCUUCAAGAACAAAUUCAUCCUAAACACAAACAUCAGCAACAACAGCUACCUGAAUAAAACUACUCGAACUACAAGAACACCAGCAACACACUCUUUAAGAACACCAGCAUCAUCAUCUUCUUCUAGACUUGCAAAUGCAACAAACACCAAAGACAAAGUUGAAUGGCUAACUUCAAUGGAGAGGACAUAGUAAUGGCAAAAAGAGUAUCAUUUUAAAGAGAGGAGGAAGAGGGAUAUGUAAAGAGUGUUCUGAGGCCAGGAUAUCAGCAGUGCGUUCAGUCAGGCGAGCGUUUACAAAACGCUCGCAAACGUUUUGUUUUGUAUCUCUGUUGCAACGCAGCGCAUAUACGUUAAGCGGGAAACCAAACAGCAAACGUUCGCCGCAAACAUCUUUACUGAACACGUUGCAGAUUCACAAUGGGGGAGGGGGGGGGGGGGCGGUGGAACAAUUUUCGAGAAUUAUUGACAUACAUGUGUAUAAAUAUAUAUAUAUCAUUGUAGGAACUGUUUGCCUUGUCAACUGUGACUUAAAUAUUUAGUUCUUGUGUCAGCCUGUGCUUAUCUCAAAUAUUUAAUGACAUUUUUUUGGUUUGUUUGAUAGACAUGAUAAUUAUAUAACUAUUAAAUAUAAAUGGCAACAAUUAUAGAUAAAACAUUGUAACUCAGGUUAACUUUAUAAUAGAUAAUUAAUUGUUUAUAUGCAAUAUAUAUUUAAGGAUGCAUAUUUCUUUUAUUCUUGAAUCUAUUUUUUGUGUGUUUUUUUCAUAUAUCAAAAAUAUUUUUCAUGAAUGUGGGUUUUUAAUUCUUUGUCAGUCUCAGAAGAAUUAAACAACUUGUGUUGAAUUUAUUUGCUAGACUGAAACUAUAGGCUGUUAAUAUUGGUCAGACUAAUUGAAUCAGAGAAUAACAUAUACAGCUAAUCGGAUUACUGACCAAUAGAGUGAAUUUAGUCAAUGAUGUAUGACCCUAAGAUUAAGAUUGACUUAAAGCUGCACUCUCACAGAUUGAAGUGAACUUCUUUAUUUUUUGGCUUAGAAAGAGCCAAUUUAUGCGAAAAUGCAUGAAAAAUAGUGUCAGAAGACUGCAUACUUUCUUAUCUAAGUUCAAGAAGUGAUGUCGAAUGCCAUUACAUUAAUUUUCGAACAGAAAUCUACAAAUCUGCGAUCUGAUCUUUUGUCAGCAGUCUGAUUUGCAAAAAAGAAUGUAGAAAUUUGCUC